UUGAAUGGGGUUAUAUUAAUUCAGCACUCAGCAGUCUGUCUUAAAACUAGAUUUGUAAAUUCUAAAUUAUAUAUGUAUAUCAUUUUGCAAUUAAAUGAAAUCUUUAGCAACUGAAAUUAAACCUUUUGAAACGGGAAUUAAACCUUUUGCAAGAAUGCUCUAUAUACAUAAGAGAUCUGCUGUAAAAAUUACACAAGCUGAAAUGCGGGAUUCUUUACUAGAAGGUUCAAUUUCAAAUUCAAAAAUAUUCAUUUCAAUUACAAAGGGUUUGAUUCCAAUUUGCAAAUGCUUUAACGCCGGAAAUCAGAGCUAGUUCCCGGUUUCAUAUCCUGAUGCUAUGCAUCGAUAUAAUUAAUAUUGUCUUUAAUUGCUUUUUAUUAAUUACAUUGUUUUCCAUAAUGUUUAUUCGCUGUAAUGUAAUUUUCACUGCAAUAUAGUACUGAACACACAACAUCUUGAAACCAGCCAACACGAAAUAAUCAUUACUUCAUUCCCUAA